UACGUAGGGUGCGAGCGUUGUCCGGAUUUAUUGGGCGUAAAGGGCUCGUAGGCGGCCAACUAAGUCAGACGUGAAAUCCCUCGGCUUAACCGGGGAACUGCGUCUGAUACUGGAUGGCUUGAGGUUGGGAGAGGGAUGCGGAAUUCCAGGUGUAGCGGUGAAAUGCGUAGAUAUCUGGAGGAACACCGGUGGCGAAGGCGGCAUCCUGGACCAAUUCUGACGCUGAGGAGCGAAAGCCAGGGGAGCAAACGGG
rnacentral:rRNA from 1 species